rnacentral:rRNA from 1 species
GACGAACGCUGGCGGCGUGCUUAACACAUGCAAGUCGAACGGAAAGGCCCUGCUUUUGUGGGGUGCUCGAGUGGCGAACGGGUGAGUAAGACGUGAGUAACCUGCCCUUGACUUUGGGAUAACUUCAGGAAACUGGGGCUAAUACCGGAUAGGAGCUCCUGCUGCAUGGUGGGGGUUGGAAAGUUUCGGCGGUUGGGGAUGGACUCGCGGCUUAUCAGCUUGUUGGUGGGGUAGUGGCUUACCAAGGCUUUGACGGGUAGCCGGCCUGAGAGGGUGACCGGCCACAUUGGGACUGAGAUACGGCCCAGACUCCUACGGGAGGCAGCAGUGGGGAAUAUUGCACAAUGGGCGGAAGCCUGAUGCAGCAACGCCGCGUGCGGGAUGACGGCCUUCGGGUUGUAAACCGCUUUCGCCUGUGACGAAGCGUGAGUGACGGUAAUGGGUAAAGAAGCACCGGCUAACUACGUG